GCUGACACGUUCCAGCCAAUCAGCAGCAGACCCUCCCUCCCAGUCCCUCCCACCUCCUGGACAGCAUCCAUUUUGAAGCUGCAUUCUUAGUGAGCUGUCCAGGAGGUGGGAGGGUCUGGGAGGGAGGGUUUGGGAGGGAGGGUCUGCUCCUGAUUGGCUGGAAUGUGUCU